ACAUAACUGAUGCCUCCGCGUAUCGACUUUGUGCGCAUUUUAGCUAUUAUGUGUUCUUUUAAUUAAAAUGAUUCUUUUUAAGAUUCAUCUAUUAAAAAUUUGCUUCGGCAUAAUUUUUUUUGAUGAUCUUGUUACUUUGAGUAAAUUAGAGUGUUCAAAGCAAACAGAUAUAGCAUUUGUGCGUUUGAAUACUACAGCAUGGAAUAACAAAAUUGAACAAGUCAGAAUUUUUUUGUUCUUUUUUCUUAUUUUGGCUUAGUUACGAUUAAUAGGAGUAGCUUGGGGGCAUUUGUAUUCAGAUGUCAGAGGUGAAAUUCUUAGAUUUUCUGGAGACAAACAACUGCGAAGGCAUUUGCCUAAAAUACUUCCAUUAAUCAAGAACGAAAGUUAAGGGAGUGAAGACGAUCAGAUACCGUCGUAAUCUUAACCAUAAACUAUGCCGACUAGGCUUUGGAUGAAAGAUUUUAAAAUAAGAGUUUUUCUUUUCUCUCCGGAGAUUAGAACUCUUAGAUUGCUUCCUUCAGUGCCUUAUGAGAAAUCAAAGUCUUUGGGUUCUGGGGCGAGUAUUCGCGCAAGCGAGAAAGUUAAAAGAAUUGACGGAAGGGCACCACCAGGCGUGGAGCUUGCGGCUUAAUUUGACUCAACACGGGAAAACUCACUAGUUUAAGACAAGAGUAGGAUUGACAGAUUAAUAGCUCUUUCUUGAUUUCUUGGAUGGUGAUGCAUGGCCGUUUUUAGUUCGUGAAUAUGAUUUGUCUGGUUAAUUCCGAUAACGAACGAGAUCUUAACCUGCUAAUUAGCGGCAAAUACGAUAUAUUCUUAUGUAGAAUUGAAUAUAGUGGAUUUGUUGGAUUUUGAAGAAAAUAUUGGAAUUACGUUUAAAUGUGAUUCCUUUCCCUUUUCUACUUAAUUUACAUUUCCAUCUAUUUCUUUUUUGCGUAUGAAUGUAUUUGCUUGAUUGUAAAGCUUCUUAGAGGAACGAUGUGUG
rnacentral:rRNA from 1 species